UACCAUGAUGAACACGAGCCAGAAGGCUCAAAUCAAUAAACCCAGCUCUUUGAGCUGCUAAAAGAAAAGCAGCUAGGAAACGAAAAACACGUUCUGAAU
rnacentral:snoRNA from 1 species